GUCACAAGAAGCUUCAGUACUGCGGGAUGCAGAGCUCUCACAGUGUGUGUAGCGCUUUUCCACUUCAAACUUCCUCUCAUUUUCUGUGGUCACUUCCUGGGUGUCCACAGUCAAGUGGAGGAACGGAACAGGAGAGAAACCAGGUCAUCUACUGCGCUAUGGAGAAAGUGCCGGAGGCCCAGCUGACUCACCCAACCAACAUUAUUGCAUUAUUAUUGCAUUUCUUUCAUUACUGCUAUCACCUGCUUUUUCAAUACCUCUGGCUUGGAGUCACAGUUCCCAAAGAGUUUUC
ensembl:lncRNA